rnacentral:rRNA from 1 species
ACGGCUCAGUAACACGUGGACAACCUACCCUCAGGAGGGGGAUAACCCCGGGAAACUGGGGAUAAUACCCCAUAGACCAGGGAUGCUGGAAUGCCUCCUGGUUCAAAGGUCCGCCGCCUGAGGAUGGGUCUGCGGCCGAUUAGGUUGUUGUUGGGGUAACGGCCCAACAAGCCUUUGAUCGGUACGGGUUGUGAGAGCAAGAGCCCGGAGAUGGAUUCUGAGACACGAAUCCAGGCCCUACGGGGCGCAGCAGGCGCGAAAACUUUACAAUGCGAGAAAUCGUGAUAAGGGAACCCCGAGUGCCCGUAAAUUCGGGCUGUCCGCCAGUGCAAAUAGCUGGUGAAGAAAGGGCCGGGCAAGACCGGUGCCAGCCGCCGCGGUAAUACCGGCGGCUCGAGUGGUGGCCACUAUUACUGGGCUUAAAGCGUCCGUAGCUUGAUUGUUAAGUCUCUUGGGAAAUCCACCGGCUCAACCGAUGGGCGUUCAGGAGAAACUGGCAAUCUAGGGACCGGGAGAGGUGAGAGGUACUCCAGGGGUAGGAGUGAAAUCCUGUAAUCCUUGGGGGACCACCUGUGGCGAAGGCGUCUCACUAGAACGGCUCCGACAGUGAGGGACGAAAGCUGGGGGAGCAAACCGGAUUAGAUACCCGGGUAGUCCCAGCUGUAAACGAUGCGCGUUAGGUGUAUCGGUGACCACGAGUCAUCGAGGUGCCGAAGGGAAACCGUGAAACGUGCCGCCUGGGAAGUACGGUCGCAAGGCUGAAACUUAAAGGAAUUGGCGGGGGAGCAC